GGCUUUUGGUUUGUCUUAGAGUGUGUGUGUGUGUGUGUGUGUGUGUGUGUGUGUGUGUGUGUUUAAGCUUGGUGGUGAAAAAGUUAUUUUGUAGUAGAAAGUCCUUGCCUUAUCAUUACUUUGCUGAUUUUUCCCUGGUGACCAGGAAGCUCAGAGCUGAAUUUAGGGUCCAUACAAUCCCACCCUGGUUCUGUUGCAAUGAUCUUUCGGUAAUUCUCACGUCUUUUUGGGUUCACAGAUCUCUAUGGGAAUUUGAUGGAAGCAAAGAGGAAUCCCUCAGGAAGCAUUCCUAUCUGCCCACAAAACAUAGGCAGAGAGUGGAUUCUGAUCACUCCCUUUGGAACUCUUCACCUACCAUAUUUUACAUUUUAUUUGUGUUACUUUCUGGUGCCCCCAGUGCUGACGCACCCAGGACUUCAAGAAACAGAGGAGAUGCUGACAAGCAUUGGAAGGGUUUAUUUGUUCUCAUGCAAAGCGGGGAGAGGCCACAGGAUUCUUGUCCAUCAGAUUCCAGUAGCAUUUACUGCUUGUUCUGUUUAUCUGUUACUAAAGCUAAAUUCAAUAGUCUACUGAGUACUUCCCAUGUAGAAGGCUUUGCUCUGAUCAGAAUCCUAUAUUGCUUGAUUCAUCAUUUUCAGAUUGUUCAUCUCUAUAUGUGUUGUACCCCUUAUGGAAUGGGAUCACUUGUGAUACAUGCAUCCUCCAACCAUCCAGCACAUUGGAGUCGACAGCUAAAUGUCCAUGCUUAAGUCAACUCCCCCUGGCUAGAGCUCUGGUAUAACAUAGUGGUGAGUCAAACACAUAAUUAUAAAAGUUAUACAUACCCAGUUUAAAGAGUUUGGGAAUACAUAAAAUAUAAAUUUACUUAUAAUCCUACCAUCCAGUGAUAACUUCUAUUAAUAUUUUAGUACAUUUUAUUUUAACCUUCUUUUAUCUAUGUCUCUAUUUAUCAAAUAAGGAACCAUCUAUGUGCAAAGUUUUACACUUCACAUUUUCCCAUGCCAUUACAAAUUUUGAAAACAUAAUGCUGUAUAAUAUUCCAUUAUAUUGAUGAACCAUCUAAUUUAUCAAUUUCCUUAUUAGAUACAUAGGCUGCUGUCAAGUUUUCCACUAUUACAAAAAUUAUUGUAAUGAGAACUUUUUGUACAUAUGUCUACAUGUCUGCAUGCCUACAUCUCUGAUUAUUUCCCUUCAAUGUGUUCAUGGAAUUUAAAUUACUAUUCAAAGGGUACAGAACUUCUAGUUAUUGGUUUGUAUUACCAGAUUGUUGUCAGAAAGGAUUAUCCUUUCUAUCCCAUCAGAAGAGAAGAAUGCCUGGUUUAUUAUUCCUACACUAACAUUAAUGAUCUUUUUCAACAUUCACAAAUUUGAUUAGUGCAGAUGAGUUUCAGUUUUGCCUUUCCAUAUUUCUUUGAUCAUUAGUGAGCUUAAACAUUUUUAUAGGGCCUCCCUGGUGGCGCAGUGGUUGCGCGUCCGCCUGCCGAUGCAGGGGAACCGGGUUCGCGCCCCGGUCUGGGAGGAUCCCACAUGCCGCGGAGCGGCUGGGCCCGUGAGCCAUGGCCGCUGGGCCUGCGCGUCCGGAGCCUGUGCUCCGCAACGGGAGAGGCCACGGCAGAGGAAGGCCCGCAUACCACAAAAACAAAAAAAAAAAAAACAAAACAAAAAAAAAAACAAAAAAAAAAACAUUUUUAUAUAUUUAUGAGAAACAUUAUUUCUUCUCUGAAUUAUCUGUUGAUGUUUUUGACCAUUUAAAAAAAUGGAGUGUUAGUAUUUUUCCUAUUGGUGUGCUACAGAUGCAUUAUUGAAGGUUUCAAAAACCAUUUUAAAAUCAACUGAAUAUUUUUAUUUUUUUAUGCCACAUCAUCCACGGCCACCUUAGAAGAAAGACCAAUUCCAGACGCAAAGAGCAGUUCCUUCGGUUAUUUUGGGUUACUGAAUCAUUUCUUCUUUGCAUAAAGAAUGCACAAGAAGGGCUUCCCUGGUGGCGCAGUGGUUGAGAGUCUGCCUGCCGAUGCAGGGGACGCGGGUUCGUGCCCCGGUCCGGGAAGAUCCCACAUGCCGCGGAGCGGCUAGGCCCGUGAGCAAUGGCCGCUGCGCCUGCGCGUCCGGAGCCUGUGCUCUGCAGCGGGAGAGGCCACAACAGUGAGAGGCCCGCGUACCGAAAAAAAAAAAAAAAAAAAAAAGAAUGCACAAGAAAAUGUGAGUGCAGUGUUUUCCUCAACGCACUUGCUUUCCAUUAAGUGGAUCUUUUGUGCUGAAACGGAUUUACAGACCCACCAAAUCAGAGGAUGCCGCUGGCAGAAAGAUGAGCCUGGUCUGGUGUUAAUGCAAGAAGAUCCCUGUGGUACAGACGCAGGAAGUUGGACCAUACGGAGAAUUUUCUACCUCUGCCUUCUUUCCUUCCUUGUUCCUUUCUUUUUACUUUUUUGUAAUUGUAAGGUGUCAGCAAUGGCUUGACUCGUUAGACGAUACAUAUUUUUCAGAAAGUCUCUGUUUUUUUCAUUUCCCUCAGGUAAUAUAGAUAACUGAAAGCAUUGAAAGAAUAAAGACAUUUUUUGAAAUCCAUUCAUAAGAUUCGCAAGAGGAAUUCAUCACAGAAACUUCAAUCAUUCUUAAAAAACAAAAAAACAGACUUCAACAACUCCCUUGAGAUAGGUGUUAGUAUUAUCUUGAUUUUACUUACAGAAGAGGCUUAGAGAAAUUAAGCAAUUUGCUCAAAGUCAACAGCCAGGAAAGCAACGACACCAAAACUUGGACCCAGUUCUGCUGAUGCCAAAGUGCCAGUUCCAGUCUAUACUACUCCACGAAGCUAGUUAGUUAUAGUUCUUAAUUACAUGUGAUCAGAAAGCUUGUAUCAGAUCUAUGAGGCAGGUGCUGUAGGAAACUGGGCACAGUGUUGGGACAUCUGACAAAGUAUUGAACCAUGGGGCCAGGAGACUCAGCAAAUUCGUGAAUGAGAGAGAAUCUUUAAUGGGGGUCAGAGUGACCAUCUUCCUGGCAAAAUGGCAAAAGGGAAAAUUGGACACACUGGUAUAGAAAGACAAGGGAUGGUUAGAGAAGGAAUCAAGGUGGUUUCUCUUCCUCAAAGACUCUAGGGGCUCCACAUUUGAGUCUGUUUCAGAAUAAUUGUGAAAAGCUGUGGAGUUUUUAGGAUGAUGGGGGAAGAAGAGCUGUCCCCAGGAAGAUGGAAUUGAGCCAGGUGAGGCUCUAUCAAGGUGUAGAAAUAAGGACCCAGGAGCAGGGAGCUGGCCUUCGGGAAUGGUGGGGCUUGAAGGAGGAAGGCACAGCAAUAGGGGAAUGGAUGUUCCUCUCUCAUGAGCUGUGUGAUGAAUUGUUCUCUUAAUCAAGUUGCCAUCAUAACUGCAAAGAGUGCUCUCAAGAACUGGGAUGUAGAAGAGGGGAAAGAGUGCUUUCUGGUUUGGUGCAGCAGAUCCUCUAAGAGAGAGGCUUUCAUACUUUUUUGGAUUAUGACUCACAGCAAGGAGUACCUUUUCUCUCAUAAGCCGGUAACAUAUACAUUUCUAUGAAACUGAAGCAAAAUUUCAGGGGACAAUGCUUACCCUUACUAUGCAAGAUACAUGCUGAUAUUUUCUAUUCUCUUCUGUUUCAUUUGAGCAAAAUUGCUGGCACCUCUCACAAAACUGAUUUCUCAAUCCUUGAAAGGGUCAUGACUUACUGAGUGAAAAAUCAGUUCUGAGUUGCACCAUGUGUCAACAAACAGAAUGUCCACAGAAGCUAUCAUUCGGUUCUUACAAACCACAAUCAACAGCAUGGAAGAAGUUGCAUGCAGAAUUUUUUCCAAGGCAAAGAGAUAAAAAAGCAAGGUUUUAAUUCUGGUUAGCCUGUGUCCUUAUAGCCUGCUACUAACUUCCACUGCAGUGGAUUUUCAGAUUGUCCAGAAUGUGAUUCUGUAAGGGGGGAUUGGAAACAUGUUCUGAAUAUGUGCAGAAGUUUCCUGAGUACCAUUUAAGUUCAGUCGUGCUAAGCCUGAGAUAGGGCGUCAUCCCUCGCAAGCUUCCCAGGACCCCUUGGCUGUGCACACAAAGAGAACCCGGCUUUUCUUGUUUGGGCCUUUGCUCCUUCCUAUUUGAUUGAAUCUGAAGAGGAACUGUUUGCCUUAGGCCGUACAUCCUGAAUCACAAUCAGGAUGCUGCUGGCACAGAAAAGCUGCUCCCACCCUUGCCUGAAAUAACUGAACAGGGAAGCAGAGUUCCUCUCAUCCCCAGCCUUAAAGCAAGAGGCUCAUAAUUUAUGGUGUGCUGGCAAUACAUCAGAAGUCAGUUCAGUCACUUACAGUAAAAUCAAGGAGGGCAGAACAAUGAAUAUAAAGUGAGAUUAAAACACCUCGUUAAGGGACAAAUUGUUCAGUGGACCCCAGAAUAACGAUGCUUUGGUCUUUGUUAGCCGGAGUCCAGUGGCCUUCAGAGAUGCUUCCUUGUCUGCAGGAUAUGAAAAAAGCUUGUUCUUACAGGUCUGAUAUUUGGUGAAAUCAGAAGAGUGCAAAGGAAAAACGCUAUGGCUGCCUGCAGGAGCCACUUCUGGGAGCCAGGAGGUUGCCAUAGAGACGUCAUGGGGCAGAGGAGAGAUGAGGGGCCUGGAGAGACUGGCCGUGUGACACUUGCCAUCCCCUGACUUUCAGUGGCACUUGGCUGGGUCCACGAUAUGGAAGAUAUUCCAUAAAUCUUUGUUGGUUAGUUAUUUGGAAUGAAUGUCCAGAAAAUGCUGAAGAAUACCUGAGGAGACAAAAGGGAGUGAUGGAGUGAUUAAAUAUGUCAUUACUGCCUUCUUUGCUAUUUAUAAGAUUUCUUUUAACCUGUGGUAUUAUUUGCUUAGAAAGUUCCAGAUUGUAUUAACCAUGUUCACAUUUUCUCUCUGAUCCCUCCUUCUAACCCUUGCUCUCCAUUCCCCCAACAUUUAUUGUAAAAAGGUGUUCUUUUUUUUUUUUUUUUUGCUGUAUGCGGGCCUCUCACUGCUGUGGCCUCUCCCGUUGCGGAGCACAGGCUCCGGAUGCGCAGGCUCAGCGGCCAUGGCUCACGGGCCCAGCCGCUCCACAGCAUGUGGGAUCUUCCCGGACCGGGGCAUGAACCCAUAUCCCCUGCAUCAGCAGGCAGACUCUCAACCACUGCACCACCAGGGAAGCCCAAAAGGUGUUCUUUUAAAGACUUUUUAAAAGAAAUGUAAUUAUCCAUGGCUCAGUGUCACUUUUAAAGUUGUCCCUUGGUACUUUUUGGAGGCUGCAAAAUAUGUUUAAUUUCCAAACCUUCUUGGAAGUCACCCAAUAAAUUCAGGCAUGGAAGGCAUGGUCAGAGUACAGGGUGAACGAAGAGAUCGUGCUGUGAGUUGGCCAGUAUCGUUUAUUAUAGGCAAUCCAGCAGGUGCGUAAAUAACUCCUACUGGGAGGUUUUCCCCUCAGCUUCCCAAAAUGGCUCCAUUUCAACAUCCAGCAGUGACACCAUAUUCUCAGAAUUGGAUUAGCUAAGCACUGGGCAAAGUAAAAUCCACUAGAACGAUCCAAAGGAAAGCUUUGCUCCCACACCGACAGCAUUAGUAUGAAAUAGGCUUUUGUUUAUUACAAAUGGUAGGAUUCAUCAACUAAUUGAAAAGUCUAGUUCUUGGAAGUGCACAUAUACAUCUCAUGUUAUAUAGUUCAAGUCUAUGUAUGUCAUUUUUGAGUCCUUACUAAGUAUCAGAGCCUGUACUGGUGCUGUGGAGGGUAGUCAGAUGAGUGCAACCUCGCCUUGUCUUUGAGAGUUCACGCGUUUGUUGGGAGACAGGGGCAGAUAUAUCAUCUCAUCAUGAAACAGAUUGGGAAAUUAUAAAUGCAAGCAAAAUGCCAUGGGGUUAGAAAGGAAAACUUGGAGAUGCCUCUUGGUAGAGGAAGAAUUAAAACUAGGCAUUCUUGCAUUUAUUUUUUACACAGACAAUGAUUGAAUGCUUUAUAUCAUGAACUCCCCAAGAGGGCCAAUUUUAGUUGUUAAUUAUUUACAGAAGAAUAAAGUUCAACAGGCAGAAAAGGGAAGGGAGGGCACUCCAGGGAGUAGGAGUUUAGUUGAGGCCUUGAGGCUACAGGGCCUGCCCAAGAGAUGGGGAGGAGUCGGGUGUGGCUCUGACCCAGGAUGUGCAUAUGGGAAUGGGGGAGGGGUGCUGUAGUGAAGGUAAGGUUGGAAGAUAGGUGAGGGUAAAACUGCAGAGGGUUCUGAACGCCCAGCAAAGGAACAAUAAGUUUACAUUUAAAUCACAUUUUUACAAAUUGAGUCAUUCUAAGUUUACCGGGAUUGCUCCCUUUUUGGUUUUAACAAUUGGAAGUGCGCUGUCUGGGAAUCAGACCACACUUUGAAUUUGAGCUGUGUCAGAUGAAUAACUGUGGACAAGUUACUUAACCUUUCUGACACUCAGUUUUCUCAUCUGGGAAAAUGGGGUUUGUGCAGAUUAAGUGAAAAGACAUAGGUGAAAUGUCCACCAAGGACAUUUGUCCAUCUUUAGUAGGUACUCAAUAAGGGUUAGCCUCUUCUCUUUCCCUCCCUUCCCUUCCUCUUUCUCCCCUCCCCUUUCCAGAGGAAGGCUCUAAUGAACAACACAUUUCAGUAAGAUCACUGAGUCCUCAAGCUUGGUUGCUAAGUUUUUUUCUCAAUUUUUAUCCCAGUGGUUCUCAAACCAGACCAGUCAUCAGAAUCACCUAGAGGUUGUGUUAAAUCACAGAUUGCUGGGUCCCACCCCAGAGUUUCUGAUUCAGUAGGUUUGGGGGGGCCUGAGAAUUUGCAUUUCUAACACAUUCCCAGAUGUUGCUGAUGUGGGGAGUGCACUUUGAGAACCCCAACCUUAUCCCUGGCAUAGACCCUGUUAUUUGCUUACCCAAGAGCUAUCCCCUCAUCCCUGCUGACAGAGCCCUGAGUUGUUCUGGUAGUAUAGAAAGAUUCUUUGAUUUCAGUGUUAGGUUUCUACCUCAGUGCCAGAAGAUGAUGAUGAUGAUGGGUCUAAACCAAUCAUGGUAAUCUCAAUUCCCUUGACCAUUGAUUGAUCUGAAUGUACCAUGUAGCUCAAGAGAUGUAAGGGUGGAUCAACUGACAACUCACAAAGAGAAGGGCUUCUGCCCCUUGCACCUUCUUCCUGAAUGUGUAUAUACUGCUGCAGUUACACUAGCCAUCUUGGGACCAAGAGACGACAAGCAAGAGGAAGAGAACCAACAUGGCAAGGACGUUAGGGCAGAGAUACAGGAAGAACCUGGAUCCCAAAGGCAUCAUUGAGCUGCAUGCCCUGGAUUCCUACCUCAACUUGUUCUCAGUGAGAAAAAUACAUUUUCAUUUGUUGAAGUCACCAUAAUCUAUUAUUUUGUUACUUGCAGACAAACACACUCCUGACUGAUACAAUCUGUUCUAGUUCUCUGAUGGCAUAGUUAAUAUUGACUUCUUUUAUAGAUGAAGACACUGAGGUGCAGAAAAAUGAAGGUGACAUAAUAUAUAGUGGUAGAGCUUAGAUUCCAACUCAAGCUUCCUGAUUAAAAGUUCUUGGCAUUUUCCCACUGACCUAUAGCUCAGCCAUUCUAAUUAUUUCUUCCAACUAAUAUAAAUAAAUAAAAAUAAAUAAAUUUCUCUUUUUCCUUCUAUUAAGGAAGAAAAAAUUGAUAACUCCCUAUCUGUUCUGAGCUUUACUUGUGUCUCUGCUCUCAGCCAUCUGACUUCUGAUUGUUAUUUAUUAAUUAUCUAAAUAACUAAUUCCUUCCACAUUUACAUAUAGAUGUACUAUAUAUAACGUUUGAACUUGAUCUUUUUUGUAAUGGACAAUCUUACUUUUGUCCAGAUUUUGUUCCUUACAGAAAGAAGCAGUCAAAUUAACUUUGUGUCUUAACUU